rnacentral:rRNA from 1 species
ACUCCUACGGGAGGCAGCAGUGAGGAAUAUUGGACAAUGGAUGGAAAUCUGAUCCAGCCAUGCCGCGUGCAGGAAGACUGCCCUAUGGGUUGUAAACUGCUUUUGUAUGGGAGCAAUAAGCCCUUCGUGAAGGGUGAUGAGAGUACCAUACGAAUAAGCAUCGGCUAACUCCGUGCCAGCAGCCGCGGUAAUACGGAGGAUGCAAGCGUUAUCCGGAUUUAUUGGGUUUAAAGGGUGCGUAGGCGGUUGGAUAAGUCAGCGGUGAAAGUUUUCUGCUUAACAGGAAAAAUGCCGUUGAUACUGUCUGGCUAGAAUAUGGUUGCUGUGAGUGGAAUGUGUGGUGUAGCGGUGAAAUGCUUAGAUAUCACACAGAAUAUCGAUUGCGAAGGCAGCUCACAAAGCCAUUAUUGACGCUGAGGCACGAAAGUGUGGGGAUCAAACAGGAUUAGAUACCCUGGUAGUC